CUCUUGAAGUAUUUUCUUUUCGCAGGUGCACAUCUGUUGCAGUCAUCUGAGGUGAAACGGUCAAUGACUGAAACAUUCCCUGAAUUGACUGUGUCUGAGAAUGCGUCAUUACUAUGACACAUCGAAUGCAGUUUAUGAUCAUAGAGCCAUCGUAUCACUGUCACGAUACCAAUAUCACAACACAAUAUUAUUUUGGAUUGACGUGAAGAGAAGAGCCUGGCAGACAGUAGCUCCGAGCCACUUCCUCAACCACAUUCCAGCACUGCUAAAUACGCCACUUCAGAACGCAGGAGGCGACAUCAACUGAAUGCGGGCUGCUGACCUCAGCUCCUGAAAUAGCUCUCCAUGGUAAGCUGGAAGGAAAGGCACUUGUUGGUCAUUUUCCCCCAAUUCAUCCUUACAUAUUUAAGUUUGGAUUCUUUCUGACCACAGCAAACCCCUUUACUGUUGCACAGCUAAGAAUGUGCUAACCGA